CAAUUACAAGGUAAUAGGCCAGUUUUUAAAAGCCCUCCAGAAGGGAGGCUGUGGGCCCAAGGGGAGGCCACUUUGUAACCCGUUCCCUUCCUGCUGCUGCUGCUACCGCUGCUCCAGGACCCGGGGACCCUCCCUCCGCCCACUUCAGGGAAGCCCAGAAAGGCAAGGCUGGAAGUCACAGAGGAAGCGGGGCCAAGGCAGAACCUUACGCGGACGCUGUACCCAUCUCAGCAGCCAGUAGACAAAAGCACGUUAUCGACCCAAGAAAUACCACUUCCAGCCAGCAGCGUGAGAAAGCAUUGCUGAUUUUUUCACCCAGGAAAGCGAGAGUAACGAAUACGUCGUCUGCAGGAGGGCGGAGAGAAGGGAAGACAGGAAUACACGGGAAGAGGAAAACCCUUUUCCAGGCACAGAGCGGGUCCUCAACGCAAACUGUACCGAUGUUCCCAAGGACCUCACGGUGAGGGGGACACUCUGGGGCACUUUGCACCUGACACAUACUAACGUAUUAGGUGGCAUGAUAAUUACUGAUCGCACGAUCCGCGGUCAAAUCCGAACCCCAAGGUCAUCUCCUAGCCACUGACCACGACACCAGAGAACCGCCGCCUUCUUUGAAAGCGCCAAGAGAUCUUAAAGCCCACCCAGCCAAAAUGCUUCGUUUUGUAAAAAAGCGCAGCUGCUGUGGGAGACGGAAUGGUGCGUCCCCAAAAAAGGAAAACAGAGAAUUCCCGGUAACAUCUGAUCCACGGCCGGGCAUAUACUCAGGAGAACCGGAAGCAGGUUCUCGAGCAGAAUUUUGUUACCCCCACGUUCACGGAAGCAUCUCACCACAGCUACACGGCCGAAGCCCGCCGAGCAUCCACGGACAAAUGAACAGAUAAGCCAAGUGUGGACGAUCCCCCACAAGGGAACAGAAUUUAGCCUUAAAAAGGAAGGGCAUUCUGACAGCACGAGGACAGGAUGCCCGAUGAGAGAAGCCAGUCGCAAAAAGACAACGAGCGACGGCUCUGUAACUAGGAGGCUUCUAGAGUCAUCGAAUUCGUGGGCGGCACAUGCAGUGGUGAGCACGAUGGUGGACGCAGGGGCCGCGGGAUGGGAAGGGGCGUUAGUGUUUCAUGGGGACAGAGUUUCAGUUGGGGAAUUCGAGACAGUUCGGCAGGUGGAUGGUGGUGAGUGCGAAUGGGCUCGGUGCCACUGAACUGAGCACCUAAAAGUAGUAAAAACAAUAAAUUGCAUGUUGGGUAUGUUUUAGAAGCACCUGGGUGGCUCAGUUGGUUAAGUGUCCGGCUCUGGAUUUUUGGCUCAGGUCAUGAUCUCGGGGUCCUGGGAUCGAGCCCCGCUGCGGGCUCCUUUCUGGGUGGGGCGUCUGCUUGGGGUUCUCGCUCUCCCUCUCCCUCAGCCGCUCCCCUGUGUGUGUGCACUCUCAAAUAAUAAAAUAAAUAUUUUAAAAAAUG